rnacentral:tRNA from 1 species
GGGGGUGUGGCUUGGUGAUAGAGUACCUGCCUGGCAGGCAAGAGGCACUGAGUUCAAACCUCAGUACUGCUC